rnacentral:rRNA from 1 species
GGAAGGAGAAGUCGUAACAAGGUUUCCGUAGGUGAACCUGCGGAAGGAUCAUUGUCGAGACCGAAACUAUAUCGAGCGAUUCGGAGAACCUGUGAAAUAAGCGGCGGCGGCAGUCGCCGCGAAACGGCCGUCCCCGCCGUCGCCCCCCCUUGUCUGGAGGGGGCCGCGACGGGGGACGGCUGAAACCCCAAGCCGGCGCAGAUUGGCGCCAAGGUAACUGUCGAAAAGCACGAGCCCGGCAUCGGGUCCUCGUGGGGCGGAGCGGUGUUAGCGCACCGCACGUAUUGACACGACUCUCGACAAUGGAUAUCUCGGCUCUCGCAUCGAUGAAGAGCGCAGCGAAAUGCGAUACGUGGUGCGAAUUGCAGAAUCCCGCGAACCAUCGAGUCUUUGAACGCAAGUUGCGCCCGAGGCCAAUCGGUCGAGGGCACGUCCGCCUGGGCGUCAACCGCCGCGUCGCUCCGUGCCAAGUCCCCACCGUUCCCACCGCAGUGGGGGUGCCGGGCGAGGCUCGGAUGUGCAGGGUGGCCCGUCGUGCCCAUCGGUGCGGCGGGCUGAAGAGCGGGUUAUCUUCUCAUUGGCCACGAACAACGAGGGGUGGAUGAAAGCUGCCGCGGGCGAGGCCCGCGUUGUCUCGUGCCGGCCCGAGUGAAGAUUACACCCUCCGUGCGAUCCCAUCCCACGCGCCGCCCCCGUGCGGCGGCUUGAAAUGCGACCCCAGGAUGGGCGAGACCACCCGCCGAGUUUAAGCAUAUCAAUAAGCGGAGGAAAAG